GCUUAACACAUGCAAGUCGAGGGAUGAAACUACUUCGGUAGUGAAUUAGCGGCGAACGGGUGAGGAACACGUGAGGAAUCUGCCUUCUACACUGGGAUAACUCCGGGAAACCGGGGCUAAUACCGGAUAUGAAACUUGGUGGCAUCACCGAGUUUGGAAAGUUUUUCGGUAGAAGAUGACCUCGCGGCCUAUCAUUUUGUUGGUGAGGUAAUGGCUCACCAAGGCGACGACGGGUAGCCGGCCUGAGAGGGCGACCGGCCACACUGGGACUGAGACACGGCCCAGACUCCUACGGGAGGCAGCAGUGGGGAAUAUUGGGCAAUGGAGGAAACUCUGACCCAGCGACGCCGCGUGCGGGAUGAAGGCCUUCGGGUUGUAAACCGCUUUCAGUAGGGAAGAAGCGAAAGUGACGGUACCUACAGAAGAAGCACCGGCUAACUAUGUGCCAGCAGCCGCGGUAAUACAUAGGGUGCAAGCGUUGUCCGGAAUUAUUGGGCGUAAAGAGCUCGUAGGUGGUUCGUUACGUCGGAUGUGAAAAUCUGGGGCUCAACCCCAGACCUGCAUCCGAUACGGUCGAGCUAGAGUUUGGUAGGGGAGACUGGAAUUCCUGGUGUAGCGGUGGAAUGCGCAGAUAUCAGGAGGAACACCAAUGGCGAAGGCAGGUCUCUGGGCCAAUACUGACACUGAGGAGCGAAAGCGUGGGGAGCGAACAGGAUUAGAUACCCUGGUAGUCCACGCCGUAAACGGUGGGCGCUAGUUGUGGGAACCUUCCACGGUUUCUGCGACGCAGCUAACGCAUUAAGCGCCCCGCCUGGGGAGUACGAUCACAAGAUUAAAACUCAAAU
rnacentral:rRNA from 1 species